AGAUUGAACGCUGGCGGCAUGCCUUACACAUGCAAGUCGAACGGCAGCACGGACUUCGGUCUGGUGGCGAGUGGCGAACGGGUGAGUAAUAUAUCGGAACGUACCCUGGAGUGGGGGAUAACGCAGCGAAAGUUGCGCUAAUACCGCAUACGAUCUACGGAUGAAAGUGGGGAUUCGCAAGAACCUCAUGCUCGUGGAGCGGCCGAUAUCUGAUUAGCUUAGGUUGGUAAGGUAAAAGCCUACCAAGGCAUCGAUCAGUAGCUGGUCUGAGAGGACGACCAGCCACACGUGGGACUGAGACACGGCCCAGACCUCCGUACGGGA
rnacentral:rRNA from 1 species